ACAGUGUAAUGGCACUCUUAUGUCGAUACUGUCAAGUAAAGUGUUACCCUAUAUUGCUUAAAUAGGAAAUGGUAAAAUACCAUCCUCUUUGUUUUAAUCCAAAUAUUACAUUUUAUGACUAAAUUACUUUUAUUUUCAUUCAUUCAGUUAUAAAUUUAUUUUCAAUCAAUAAUAUUAUUCAAUUAACAAUGAUUUUUGUGGACAAUUAUCUCUAUUUUUAAACUUUCACACUGCACUGUGCAUUGGUGCUAUGAAUCAGAUGGAAGACUGAGAGUGGCAAGCGGAAAAAAGAUACAAUUCAUUUAAACAGAUGAAAACCUGUCAGAAGCUCCAGAGAUGAAAAUGUGCCCUGUCUGGCUCCUCAGCCCUGACCUGAGAGUGGAGAGGCCGUCCUCAUUAGGCCUGAGUAUAUACAGGAUGCCACCUAUGAUUCUUCUGAGCCACAGCUCGUCCAAUCACUGACCAAGAGAGGUGCCUGAUUGCAUGGAUAGAACCGCUGACAUCCAGGGAGAGCGAAAUGUCCAGAAUUCAUUUGAGAAUAAAC